rnacentral:lncRNA from 1 species
AUAAUGUCUGUUGUUAUUGUACCAUAUGUUAGCUGCUGUUUAUACAUUGUGGUAGAGGAGGAAAGUAUAGGAAACAGACUGUAGCUUUGGUGGCACAAAGUUGUCUGAGUGUAACAAAAGGGUUAACAGUGGAGUUGAGCGUGUGCAGUAUGGGAGUUGUAGGCAGUAAGAAUGCUGGGAGCUGUCGUAAAACUCUCCCUUGCUUCUUCCUGUAAUGGCCGAUUGUAGGGAGGCAGAACCUCGGCAUUGCUGCAGCAGGCCUGGUACAGUAUUCGUAGCUUGCUUUACAUGCACUCAGGUCAGUUGUGUUUUUGCUUUGGCUUUUGUCACGUUUGCUAGGAGGAUUCGGUUAGGUUCGCUGCGCUGUGGUGCUCACUCACCUGCUUUCUGUGUCAAUGGAACUGUUUGCCUUUUUGCUGUAUCUGUUGGUGAAGUGAUUGACUGUUUCUGCUCGCUACUGGGGUUUCCCUUUCUCUGUAAUGCCUGCCUGGGGGGAGGGUGAAAACACUGGUGCUGUUUGCAGCCUUUCUUUGUAAUUUUUACCCUGCUAAUAAACACCUUUGUAGCAAUAAUGGAUUUUUUUUU